GCCAUAAAGAAUCUAUCUGUAAUUGGCAAUCACCACAGAUCCAAGAGUCCUUCUCAGUUGCAAGUUCAUUGUUUUGCAAUAAUGAAAACUCUGAAAGAGAAUAUGAGUCAGAUUCCAGAGAGACAAACAUAAGAUCUGUAGCCUGAGGACUAGAUAGUCCACGGUCCUGGCAGAAUGAUUAGCCGGGUCAUUUUCUUGUGUGGUAUCAUCAUAAGGGGGUAACAUAGGCCUGACAUUUUAACAACAUCUGAAGAAGAGGAUAGAAGACAGGGUUGUAAAAAAGCUUCCGUAUAACAACUGUUGAUAACAGGGGACCAGUAAAGAUUGACCCUGAGCCAGAGCACAGGCAUGUGUCAGAGCAACAGCAGCAACAGGAUGAGGUACAGCUACAGCUAAGGAGUGUCCAAGCACUAUAUAACCUUUUCUUUACAAGAAGGGUGGCCACUGCACCUGCAUGGAGGCACAAAGACAGUCCUGUUUGCAUUUCUCUAAGUCACAGGAGGCU